AUUGAACGCUGGCGGCAGGCUUAACACAUGCAAGUCGAGCGGAGAUGAGGUGCUUGCACCUUAUCUUAGCGGCGGACGGGUGAGUAAUGCUUAGGAAUCUGCCUAUUAGUGGGGGACAACAUUCCGAAAGGAAUGCUAAUACCGCAUACGCCCUACGGGGGAAAGCAGGGGAUCUUCGGACCUUGCGCUAAUAGAUGAGCCUAAGUCGGAUUAGCUAGUUGGUGGGGUAAAGGCCUACCAAGGCGACGAUCUGUAGCGGGUCUGAGAGGAUGAUCCGCCACCCUGGGACUGAGACACGGCCCAGACUCCUACGGGAGGCAGCAGUGGGGAAUAUUGGACAAUGGGCGGAAGCCUGAUCCAGCCAUGCCGCGUGUGUGGAGAAGGCCUUUUGGUUGUAAAGCACUUUAAGCGAGGAGGAGGCUACCUGGAUUAAUACUCUAGGAUAGUGGACGUUACUCGCAGAAUAAGCACCGGCUAACUCUGUGCCAGCCGCCGCCGUAAAAC
rnacentral:rRNA from 1 species